GAUGAACGCUGGCGGCGUGCCUAAUACAUGCAAGUCGAGCGAACAGACGAGGAGCUUGCUCCUCUGACGUUAGCGGCGGACGGGUGAGUAACACGUGGAUAACCUACCUAUAAGACUGGGAUAACUUCGGGAAACCGGAGCUAAUACCGGAUAAUAUAUUGAACCGCAUGGUUCAAUAGUUAAAGACGGUUUUGCUGUCACUUAUAGAUGGAUCCGCGCCGCAUUAGCUAGUUGGUAAGGUAACGGCUUACCAAGGCGACGAUGCGUAGCCGACCUGAGAGGGUGAUCGGCCACACUGGAACUGAGACACGGUCCAGACUCCUACGGGAGGCAGCAGUAGGGAAUAUUCCGCAAUGGGCGAAAGCCUGACGGAGCAACGCCGCGUGAGUGAUGAAGGUCUUCGGAUCGUAAAACCCUGUUAUUAGGGAAGAACAAAUGUGUAAGUAACUAUGCACGUCUUGACGGUACCUAAUCAGAAAGCCACGGCUAACUACGUG
rnacentral:rRNA from 1 species